rnacentral:miRNA from 1 species
AGGAAUAGACAAACUCUAGAUAGGGCAGAGGGGUUGGAAGGGAGGGGAGGGGGCAUGGGGUUAUUACUGAUGGUGGAAUGUGCUGAUAAUUAUUAUUCAAAGUACAAGAUAUUAAUUGGUGUGAAUAUACUGUGUAUACAACCAGAGAUAUGAAAAAUUGUGCUCUAUAAGUGUACUUUGAAUAAUAAUUAUCAGCACAUUCCACCAUCAGUAAUAACCCCAUGCCCCCUCCCCUCCCUUCCAACCCCUCUGCCCUAUCUAGAGUUUGUCUAUUCCUC